rnacentral:rRNA from 1 species
UACGUAGGGCGCAAGCGUUAUCCGGAAUUAUUGGGCGUAAAGAGCUCGUAGGCGGUUUGUCGCGUCUGCCGUGAAAAGUCCGGGGCUCAACUCCGGAUCUGCGGUGGGUACGGGCAGACUAGAGUGAUGUAGGGGAGACUGGAAUUCCUGGUGUAGCGGUGAAAUGCGCAGAUAUCAGGAGGAACACCGGUGGCGAAGGCGGUUCUCUGGGCAUUACCUGACGCUGAGGAGCGAAAGUGUGGGGAGCGAACAGG